UAUAAAAAGACAGGAGUCGCCAUUUUUCUUUCUCUCUGUCUGCUGCAGCUGUCGGGAAAGGAGUUCAAUGGCUUCUGCUUCUCCUCGUGGCACCAGUGUCGAAUCUGCUUGAAGUGAAGCUAACGUUACUCUAAAGAAUCUUUAAUUUGUUUGGUUUCCACAGGCAUUGGAUUAGUCGCUCUUAUAUAUUUAUAUUAUAUCUACGGUCUAAUAAAUGCCGUCUGUUGUAUGUAACGUUAAGGUUAGACGUUAAAUUGUCGUUAUAAUACGUGUGAGUAUUGGUUGGUAGUUUAGAAGUCUGUUAGCACACGGACCUCCCUUUUGUUUCUUUGCAGUGCGGCCAAACCGCCCUAUGUUUUCUGUAUUUUGUAACUAAUAUUAUCAAUAAACUAUUUAACUGCGUAA